CAACUUUCAGCAACGGAUCUCUUGGCUCUCGANUCGAUGAAGAACGCAGU
rnacentral:rRNA from 1 species